UACGGAGGGUGCAAGCGUUAUCCGGAAUCAUUGGGUUUAAAGGGUCCGUAGGCGGUUUUGUAAGUCAGUGGUGAAAGCCCAUCGCUCAACGGUGGAACGGCCAUUGAUACUGCAAAACUUGAAUUAUUGGGAAGUAACUAGAAUAUGUAGUGUAGCGGUGAAAUGCUUAGAUAUUACAUGGAAUACCAAUUGCGAAGGCAGGUUACUAUCAAUAUAUUGACGCUGAUGGACGAAAGCGUGGGGAGCGAACAGG
rnacentral:rRNA from 1 species